GGUUAAGCGACUAAGCGUACACGGUGGAUGCCCUGGCAGUCAGAGGCGAUGAAGGACGUGCUAAUCUGCGAUAAGCGUCGGUGAGGUGAUAUGAACCGUUAUAACCGGCGAUUUCCGAAUGGGGAAACCCAGUGUGUUUCGACACACUAUCAUUAACUGAAUCCAUAGGUUAAUGAGGCGAACCGGGGGAACUGAAACAUCUAAGUACCCCGAGGAAAAGAAAUCAACCGAGAUUCCCCCAGUAGCGGCGAGCGAACGGGGAGGAGCCCAGAGCCUGAAUCAGUGUGUGUGUUAGUGGAAGCGUCUGGAAAGGCGCGCGAUACAGGGUGACAGCCCCGUACACAAAAAUGCACAUAUUGUGAGCUCGAUGAGUAGGGCGGGACACGUGGUAUCCUGUCUGAAUAUGGGGGGACCAUCCUCCAAGGCUAAAUACUCCUGACUGACCGAUAGUGAACCAGUACCGUGAGGGAAAGGCGAAAAGAACCCCGGCGAGGGGAGUGAAAAAGAACCUGAAACCGUGUACGUACAAGCAGUGGGAGCCUCUUAAUGGGGUGACUGCGUACCUUUUGUAUAAUGGGUCAGCGACUUAUAUUCUGUAGCAAGGUUAACCGAAUAGGGGAGCCGAAGGGAAACCGAGUCUUAACUGGGCGUUAAGUUGCAGGGUAUAGACCCGAAACCCGGUGAUCUAGCCAUGGGCAGGUUGAAGGUUGGGUAACACUAACUGGAGGACCGAACCGACUAAUGUUGAAAAAUUAGCGGAUGACUUGUGGCUGGGGGUGAAAGGCCAAUCAAACCGGGAGAUAGCUGGUUCUCCCCGAAAGCUAUUUAGGUAGCGCCUCGUGAAUUCAUCUCCGGGGGUAGAGCACUGUUUCGGCAAGGGGGUCAUCCCGACUUACCAACCCGAUGCAAACUGCGAAUACCGGAGAAUGUUAUCACGGGAGACACACGGCGGGUGCUAACGUCCGUCGUGAAGAGGGAAACAACCCAGACCGCCAGCUAAGGUCCCAAAGUCAUGGUUAAGUGGGAAACGAUGUGGGAAGGCCCAGACAGCCAGGAUGUUGGCUUAGAAGCAGCCAUCAUUUAAAGAAAGCGUAAUAGCUCACUGGUCGAGUCGGCCUGCGCGGAAGAUGUAACGGGGCUAAACCAUGCACCGAAGCUGCGGCAGCGACGNNNNNNNNNNNNNNNNNNNNNNNNNNNNNNNNNNNNNNNNNNNNNNNNNNNNNNNNNNNNNNNNNNNNNNNNNNNNNNNNNNNNNNNNNNNNNNNNGCAACAAAUGCCCUGCUUCCAGGAAAAGCCUCUAAGCAUCAGGUAACAUCAAAUCGUACCCCAAACCGACACAGGUGGUCAGGUAGAGAAUACCAAGGCGCUUGAGAGAACUCGGGUGAAGGAACUAGGCAAAAUGGUGCCGUAACUUCGGGAGAAGGCACGCUGAUAUGUAGGUGAAGCGACUUGCUCGUGGAGCUGAAAUCAGUCGAAGAUACCAGCUGGCUGCAACUGUUUAUUAAAAACACAGCACUGUGCAAACACGAAAGUGGACGUAUACGGUGUGACGCCUGCCCGGUGCCGGAAGGUUAAUUGAUGGGGUUAGCGGUAACGCGAAGCUCUUGAUCGAAGCCCCGGUAAACGGCGGCCGUAACUAUAACGGUCCUAAGGUAGCGAAAUUCCUUGUCGGGUAAGUUCCGACCUGCACGAAUGGCGUAAUGAUGGCCAGGCUGUCUCCACCCGAGACUCAGUGAAAUUGAACUCGCUGUGAAGAUGCAGUGUACCCGCGGCAAGACGGAAAGACCCCGUGAACCUUUACUAUAGCUUGACACUGAACAUUGAGCCUUGAUGUGUAGGAUAGGUGGGAGGCUUUGAAGUGUGGACGCCAGUCUGCAUGGAGCCGACCUUGAAAUACCACCCUUUAAUGUUUGAUGUUCUAACGUGGGCCCCUAAUCGGGGUUGCGGACAGUGUCUGGUGGGUAGUUUGACUGGGGCGGUCUCCUCCUAAAGAGUAACGGAGGAGCACGAAGGUUGGCUAAUCCUGGUCGGACAUCAGGAGGUUAGUGCAAUGGCAUAAGCCAGCUUGACUGCGAGCGUGACGGCGCGAGCAGGUGCGAAAGCAGGUCAUAGUGAUCCGGUGGUUCUGAAUGGAAGGGCCAUCGCUCAACGGAUAAAAGGUACUCCGGGGAUAACAGGCUGAUACCGCCCAAGAGUUCAUAUCGACGGCGGUGUUUGGCACCUCGAUGUCGGCUCAUCACAUCCUGGGGCUGAAGUAGGUCCCAAGGGUAUGGCUGUUCGCCAUUUAAAGUGGUACGCGAGCUGGGUUUAGAACGUCGUGAGACAGUUCGGUCCCUAUCUGCCGUGGGCGCUGGAGAACUGAGGGGGGCUGCUCCUAGUACGAGAGGACCGGAGUGGACGCAUCACUGGUGUUCGGGUUGUCAUGCCAAUGGCACUGCCCGGUAGCUAAAUGCGGAAGAGAUAAGUGCUGAAAGCAUCUAAGCACGAAACUUGCCCCGAGAUGAGUUCUCCCUGAGACUUAGAGUCUCCUGAAGGAACGUUGAAGACGACGACGUUGAUAGGCCGGGUGUGUAAGCGCAGCGAUGCGUUGAGCUAACCGGUACUAAUGAACCGUGAGGCUUAACCUU
rnacentral:rRNA from 1 species